CCUACGGGUGGCUGCAGUGGAGAAUAUUGGACAAUGGGGGGAACCCUGAUCCAGCCAUGCCGCGUGUGUGAAGAAGGCCCUCGGGUUGUAAAGCACUUUCAGUGAGGAAGAACGCCUGGUGGUUAAUACCCAUCAGGAAAGACAUCACUCACAGAAGAAGCACCGGCUAACUCCGUGCCAGCAGCCGCGGUAAUACGGAGGGUGCGAGCGUUAAUCGGAAUUACUGGGCGUAAAGCGCGCGUAGGUGGCUUGAUAAGCCGGUUGUGAAAGCCCCGGGCUCAACCUGGGAACGGCAUCCGGAACUGUCAAGCUAGAGUGCAGGAGAGGAAGGUAGAAUUCCCGGUGUAGCGGUGAAAUGCGUAGAGAUCGGGAGGAAUACCAGUGGCGAAGGCGGCCUUCUGGACUGACACUGACACUGAGGUGCGAAAGCGUGGGUAGCAAACAGGAUUAGAUACCCUAGUAGUC
rnacentral:rRNA from 1 species